rnacentral:rRNA from 1 species
GAUGAACGCUAGCGAUAGGCUUAACACAUGCAAGUCGAGGGGCAGCAUGGUCUUAGCUUGCUAAGACUGAUGGCGACCGGCGCACGGGUGCGUAACGCGUAUGCAACUUGCCUCACAGAGGGGGAUAAUCCGUCGAAAGACGGACUAAUACCGCGUACACUUGGGAUAGGGCAUCCUGACCCAAGGAAAUGAAAUUCGCUGUGAGAUAGGCAUGCGUCCCAUUAGCUAGUUGGUGAGGUAACGGCUCACCAAGGCGACGAUGGGUAGGGGAACUGAGAGGUUGAACCCCCACACUGGUACUGAGACACGGACCAGACUCCUACGGGAGGCAGCAGUGAGGAAUAUUGGUCAAUGGGCGAGAGCCUGAACCAGCCAAGUCGCGUGAAGGAUGACUGUCUUAUGGAUUGUAAACUUCUUUUAUACGGGAAUAACAAGAGUCACGUGUGGCUCCCUGCAUGUACCGUAUGAAUAAGCAUCGGCUAACUCCGUG